GAUAUGGACGAUGGAUAUAUUCGUCCGUUCCAUGGUGCGUCCUUCGUCCAAUACAUGUCCUCUGCCAAUGUUUGAUAACCCGCCAUGUCUGUCUCCCGAGCCACAAUCCUAGGAUUUUUAUUUGUAGUAGAAAAGAUAAUUUUGUAACACCGUAAAAAAUGCACAGAAUGCACUUGCAAAAUCAAGGGAUUAACCCUCAGCCAUGAAAUUUAGAAAUAGUAACUAGAUUUAUGCAAAAGUUGAUGUGAUACAGAAAUCUCUAACAGUCAAGAGCUUUAUGCCAAGUGAAUGGCAUCAUCUUGCUGAAAAUAUUCUUGCAAAGGGAAGAAUCAAAGACAUGUGCAUAGUGUACUCCAACUACCAUUGCGGUGGCAACGAAGCUUGGCGAUUUCUUCGUGAAGAACAUCGUGGCCGGGCUGUAGCUUCUUAGUGAUCUCCAACUCCUGGUCUUUUAAAGCCAAAAGUUGGGUCGUUUUGUCCUCUAGCAAGCGUCGCUGACGUUGCAAGAUUUCAAAUUGUUCCUGAUAUUCUUGACUACAGCUCAGGUCAGUACGCAAUUUCUGGUUUUCUAGCUGAAGGUUAUCGCGAGCCAUUCUCAUUUCAAGAACUAGCUGCUGCAGCCGGGUUAUUUCCUCCACGUCGUUCUGGAGCUGGGUUGACGGAUCCGAAAAUCCACGUAGGGAGAAAGUAAAGGAUUAAUUCUCUGAAAGCCAUUUUGAAGAACGUCGGAUGCUAUUAUGUCAGCUGACAAUGAAAUGGCAGCCAUCAUCUCCAUUUUCGUUCACUAACUUUGAUUAGAAAAUGUUUUUCCACACGGAAAUGAAAAAGUGCGGAAAUUAAUAUUACCAAGAAAUUUCCUGAUACCCACCUAUCCACAGUCUCAAUGGCAUUAUGACGAGUUUUCCGCCGACGAUAGCAACGUGACGUUUGAUAUUUGGGAUCAAAGUAAAUUAAUCAUUGAAGAGGCUAUAUCUGCAGAAGAGGCUGUAUUCUGUAGUACGCAAAAAAGAGUGGUACGCGUAAACACCGGGAAAAAUUAGAAAACUGCAAGAACAAACCGUCAUGAUGCAGAACAACAGCUAUGUACACACUAUUUCUCGUGCUUUUGUGUAAUUUUAUGUGGCUACAAAAAUUGAUUCUCCCGUGUCACCUGUAAUUUGCUUCUCCGCUUUACGCGCUACAAUUAGCGCCAUAGAAAUAGAAUUAACAAGUUCACGUAAAUGCACCCCCCCUUUAAAAAAUUUGCCAUUGUUUCAAAAACUCACAUUUUGUGGUUACAAACUUCGAUGAAAGAUGGCGCUCUUGUAUCUUGUCUUCUGCUUGAAGUCUGUGUAACUUGUGAAACUUAUCGUAAAUGGUUUGCUAAUAUUCGUUAAUUGUGUUACAUCCAAUGGAAAGUUCGACAUUAA